UUACUGAUAUAAAUACCAUCCUCCUCAGCGGACCAUUUGCAAUGUGUCUCUCAGAGCUAAAUCAGUACUCUUAAUUGCAACAUCAGUUAUGGGCCCUGCUCAAUGAUGAGACGAGCAAAGAUAUGAGGAUGUUCUCAGCCAAAGCUAUUUAUACACACCGCACGGUCCUAAAUUAUCUGGCAGGGAGGGGAUGGGAAACGGCAGAAAGUUGACAGGACUGAAAACUGAAUCCAUCCCCCACUUUUUGGACCAUUCCCACAAGAGAGACUAUUCUAGGCACCUCCUUUCUGAGAGAAAAAGCAGUGAGCAUAACACUAGACUGACAACUUGAAACUCAGCCUAGCUGACUGGCAUUAUGGGAGCUGACCAGCCUGUUUCAUAGAGGACAUCCAACUGUGAACUCAGACUUCCUUGCUUCCCACUGGGUCAGUCCAAUGUGGUGCCACAAUCUCCCAUGGGUAAAAAAUAAAUAAAUAAAUGAACAAAAGGGGGGAGAGCUGAAUUUCAAAAUUUAAGUAUUCUAGCAAUUACGGGAGAGUCUGGUGACUGGACUUAAUUUAUCCUCAAGACAAUCCUAUGAGGAACAUAUGAUUGCCUAUGGAUAAGAAAACUAAGGCACAGACUGGUUAAGUAAUAUAUCCCGAUAUGUCAAUAGGCUCUAGAAUCCAGGUGUUUAAACACUGUGCUGUACUGUCUUUCAAUGAGAUGAUACAUGGAAAAUGCUUUGACAGUGUUUGCACUAUGGAAAGAGUUCAGUAAGUAUUGGUUACUAUUAUCACUCUCCUUUUAUAUACAGACACUUAUAUUCCAGUUAAAAUUUGUCAGUUAAGGUUAUCAGUUCACUAGCAAUAAUUUUAAAUAACAGUUUGUCAAAGUAUAUUCCCUAGGAACUUCUACUAGAGUCAGGUAGUAUCUGUAGUACCCAUUCUCCAGGAUGCCCCCAGUGAUCCCAGAUUCCUGUGAGUCACACUGCCAUAUAGUCUUCUCCCUCAUUCUAUCAGGG
rnacentral:lncRNA from 1 species